rnacentral:rRNA from 1 species
ACCCAUGACCAGGUUGAAGUUCAGGUAAUACUGAAUGGAGGACCGAACCGACUUACGUUGAAAAGUGAGCGGAUGAACUGUGGGUAGCGGAGAAAUUCCAAUCGAACUUGGAGAUAGCUGGUUCUCUCCGAAAUAGCUUUAGGGCUAGCCUCAAGUGAUGAUUAUUGGAGGUAGAGCACUGUUUGGACGAGGGGCCCUUCUCGGGUUACCGAAUUCAGACAAACUCCGAAUGCCAAUCAAUUUAACUUGGGAGU